rnacentral:rRNA from 1 species
AGUGAACGCUGGCGGUAGGCCUAACACAUGCAAGUCGAACGGCAGCACAGUAAGAGCUUGCUCUUACGGGUGGCGAGUGGCGGACGGGUGAGGAAUACAUCGGAAUCUACUUUUUCGUGGGGGAUAACGUAGGGAAACUUACGCUAAUACCGCAUACGACCUACGGGUGAAAGCAGGGGAUCUUCGGACCUUGCGUGAUUGAAUGAGCCGAUGUCGGAUUAGCUAGUUGGCGGGGUAAAGGCCCACCAAGGCGACGAUCCGUAGCUGGUCUGGGAGGAUGAUCAGCCACACUGGAACUGAGACACGGUCCAGACUCCUACGGGAGGCAGCAGUGGGGAAUAUUGGACAAUGGGCGCAAGCCUGAUCCAGCCAUACCGCGUGGGUGAAGAAGGCCUUCGGGUUGUAAAGCCCUUUUGUUGGGAAAGAAAAGCAGCAGGUUAAUACCCCGCUGUUCUGACGGUACCCAAAGAAUAAGCACCGGCUAACUUCGUG